AAUCAAAAAAGCCGGAAUAGCUCAGUUGGUAGAGCAGAGGACUGAAAAUCCUCGU
rnacentral:tRNA from 1 species